UACGGAGGAUGCAAGCGUUAUCCGGAAUGAUUGGGCGUAAAGCGUCCGCAGGUGGCUGUGUAAGUCUGCUGUUAAAGAGUGAGGCUCAACCUCAUAAAGGCAGUGGAAACUACAUGGCUAGAGUGCGUUCGGGGCAGAGGGAAUUCCUGGUGUAGGGGUGAAAUGCGUAGAGAUCAGGAAGAACACCGGUGGCGAAAGCGCUCUGCUAGGCCGCAACUGACACUGAGGGACGAAAGCCAGGGGAGCGAACGGG
rnacentral:rRNA from 1 species